UGGGGAAUUUUGCACAAUGGGGGCAACCCUGAUGCAGCGACGCCGCGUGAUUUAGAAGGCCUUCGGGUUGUAAAAAUCUUUUGUAUGGGAAGAAAAUGACAGUACCAUACGAAUAAGGACCGGCUAAUUACGUGCCAGCAGCCGCGGUAAUACGUAAGGUCCGAGCGUUGUCCGGAAUCAUUGGGCGUAAAGGGUACGUAGGCGGAUAAGCAAGUUAGAAGUGAAAUCCUAUAGCUCAACUAUAGUAUGCUUUUAAAACUGCUCAUCUUGAGGUAUGGAAGGGAAAGUGGAAUUCCUAGUGUAGCGGUGAAAUGCGCAGAUAUUAGGAGGAAUACCGGUGGCGAAGGCGACUUUCUGGCCAUAUACUGACGCUGAGGUACGAAAGCGUGGGUAGCAAACAGG
rnacentral:rRNA from 1 species